GCGGGCGUCGUAUAAUGGUUAUUAUGCUGCCUUGCCAAGGCAGAAACGGCGGUUCGAUUCCGCUCGCCCGCUCCA
rnacentral:tRNA from 1 species